CUCAAUCCUAACUUUUCGUCACCAACAUUUGUGGACUUCAGUCGUUUCAAAGAAAAAUCACAAGUUCUUCCCCCAGCUCUCUGUGCACAUCGUUCUUCCCUCGGCACUUCAUAUGUUUAUAAUUAUUAUGAUUAUUUAUGUAAUUUGUCUAAAAGAGAUCAAAUAGGGGCCACUCCGCACUGCUAUCCCCCUAUAUGCUAUCCUGCUAUCCAAUUUUUUGAGUCGGCCACUUUGUGCUGUUAUCUAGGAUUGACUACUCUACUUGUGAAGUUGAUCUCUCAACCUCUCUCUGUGUGUCUAUGUCCCCGGCUUGCAAUUUCUUUCUAUGGCAAAUUUGAAUUCAAACUGAUUAUCUACUUAACCCUCAAUAAAAUAUCUUCAAAAAAAAAAAUUAUCAGCUAG